GUGGACUGCGGGCGGGCUAUACAUGCAAGUUGAACGAGAUUGUUGGUAGCAAUACUGACAUGAAAGUGGCGCACGGGUGCGUAACACGUAUGUAACCUACCUUUAACUGGGGCAUAGCUUCGAGAAAUCGAAAUUAAUACCCCAUAACAUUUAGAAAAGGCAUCUUUUCUUUAUCAAAGUUCCGGCGGUUAAAGAUGGACAUGCGGUGCAUUAGCUUGUUGGUGAGGUAACGGCUCACCAAGGCUACGAUGCAUAGGGGGUCUGAGAGGAUGAUCCCCCACACUGGUACUGAGACACGGACCAGACUCCUACGGGAGGCAGCAGUAGGGAAUAUUGGGCAAUGGACGAAAGUCUGACCCAGCCACGCCGCGUGAAGGAUGACUGCCCUAUGGGUUGUAAACUUCUUUUGUAUGGGAAGAAAAUUCCGAACGUGUUCGGAGCUGACGGUACCAUAAGAAUAAGCAUCGGCUAACUCCGUGCCAGCAGCCGCGGUAAUACGGAGGAUGCAAGCGUUGUCCGGAUUCAUUGGGUUUAAAGGGUGCGUAGGCGGAGAUUUAAGUCAGUGGUGAAAGCUUACAGCUUAACUGUAAAAAUGCCAUUGAAACUGAAUUUCUUGAGUUCGAUUGAGGUAGAUGGAAUGUAUCAUGUAGCGGUGAAAUGCUUAGAUAUGAUACAGAACACCAAUUGCGAAGGCAGUCUACUAAGUCGAUACUGACGCUGAGGCACGAAAGCAUGGGGAGCAAACAGGAUUAGAUACCCUGGUAGUCCAUGCCCUAAACGUUGAUUACUCGUUGUUGGCGAUACACUGUCAGCGACUAAGCGAAAGCGUUAAGUAAUCCACCUGGGGAGUACGAUCGCAAGGUUGAAACUCAAAGGAAUUGACGGGGGCCCGCACAAGCGGUGGAGCAUGUGGUUUAAUUCGAUGAUACGCGAGGAACCUUACCAGGGCUUGAAAGUUAGUGACCGCUGCCGAAAGGUGGCUUCCCUUCGGGGCACAAAACUAGGUGCUGCAUGGCUGUCGUCAGCUCGUGCCGUGAGUGUGGGUAGUCCCGCAACGAGCGCAACCCCUAUCUCUAGUGCAUCAGUAUGCUGGGGACUCUAGAGAGACUGCUAUGUAUUAGUGAGAGGUGGGGACGACGUCAGUCAUCAUGGUCCUUACGUCCUGGGCUACCACCGUGCCUACCAAUG
rnacentral:rRNA from 1 species